UACGUAGGGUGCGAGCGUUAAUCGGAAUUACUGGGCGUAAAGCGUGCGCAGGCGGUUUGGUAAGACAGAUGUGAAAUUCCCGGGCUUAACCUGGGAACUGCAUUUGUGACUGCCAGGAUAGAGCGCGGCAGAGGGGAGUGGAAUUCCGCGUGUAGCAGUGAAAUGCGUAGAUAUGCGGAGGAACACCGAUGGCGAAGGCAACUCCCUGGGCCUGCACUGACGCUCAAGCACGAAAGCGUGGGGAGAAAACAGG
rnacentral:rRNA from 1 species